UCCGCAAUGGGCGAAAGCCUGACGGAGCAAUGCCGCGUGGAGGUGGAAGGCCUACGGGUCGUNAACUUCUUUUCUCGGAGAAGAANNCCNNNCNGUAUCUGAGGAAUAAGCAUCGGCUAACUCUGUGCCANNNGCCGCGGUAAGACAGAGGAUGCAAGCGUUAUCCGGAAUGAUUGGGCGUAAAGCGUCUGUAGGUGGCUUUUCAAGUCCGCCGUCAAAUCCCAGGGCUCAACCCUGGACAGGCGGUGGAAACUACCAGGCUGGGGUACGGUAGUGGCAGAGGGAAUUUCCGGUGGAGCGGUGAAAUGCAUUGAGAUCGGAAAGAACACCAACGGCGAAAGCACUCUGCUGGGCCGACACUGACACUGAGAGACGAAAGCUAGGGGAGCAAAUGG
rnacentral:rRNA from 1 species